GUUACCGUCACAAUUUGGCACCAUGAAAUUUAAAUUCAAUUUGAUUUUCGGCCUAUGCCCGAUUGAAGAGUUAGCAGUUAAUUAACCUGUCAUGAUCAAUGAUGUUGGCCUGUGUAUUAUAGACAUACAAAAUUGGCGAAUGGCAAUUAAGGCUGAGGUCUUAGACAUAUUGACCUGGAAACUAAUAUGCUUCAUCUGAAAUAACAUACUAGUAUAAGAAGGGUAGAUAAGUCUCUGUCUGAGCAAUUCAUCCCAUUCUUUGCCAUUUACAGGCAGCAUCUGACAGACCAGGAUCCAGCUUUCUGCCAGUAAGCUCUCCAAAUUUGCAAACAAGUGUCUUCUGCAGACAGGGCAGCUUGUCUUCUCUCCUCAGUUUAUUUGCAAGAGAUAUUUCUUAGUGGUUUGUAUCCUAAUGUUGCGAAGGAGGAGAUCGAGGCGAAUAUUUUCUCAGUUUGGGGAACUUGUCUAUGUUAAGAUUCCUUUGGGUAAAGGAUGUUGUUUUGUCCAAUUCGGAACUCGCCCAUGCUGUGCUUCUGCUGAAGAAACAAUACUAAGGUCGCAUGGAACUAUUAUUGGUCAACAAAUAGUCCACCUUUCAUUGAGCAGAAGCUCAACAACUGACGAAGUGAGUCCAUUUAUUUUGCUGCUGAUGUUUGUAGAGAUUCUUGCUAUGUGGUGUCUGGGUGUUACACAUGUGAGUAAUUGCUUUUCGAAAUCAUGAAUUCCUGAAAGGAUAAGCAAUGUUUACACUGCCAAAAAUUUGGUAUGAGUUGAGAAAGAAAUUGACCAUACUAUGCUUUAUGAAAAACUAUUAAUAGGUUCAUUAUCAGACAUUUUCACCGUAUUGGACAGGUCUCGGUUAAAAGUACUCUCUUUUGGUGUGGUUGCGGGUGUGUGGGUGUGUUUAGUGGUUGUCGUUGUCUAAUUUCUUGAAAAAAUUCAGUCCUUUUGACUCAACCUUGAUGAGAUCUAGAUAUAAAAUCAAGUCUACAUCGAAUGAAGUAGAUGAUGGACUA